CCUACGGGGGGCAGCAGUGAGGAAUAUUGGUCAAUGGACGAGAGUCUGAACCAGCCAAGUAGCGUGAAGGAUGACUGCCCUAUGGGUUGUAAACUUCUUUUAUAUGGGAAUAAAAUGUUCCACGUGUGGGAUUUUGUAUGUACCAUAUGAAUAAGGAUCGGCUAACUCCGUGCCAGCAGCCGCGGUAAUACGGAGGAUCCGAGCGUUAUCCGGAUUUAUUGGGUUUAAAGGGAGCGUAGGUGGAUUGUUAAGUCAGUUGUGAAAGUUUGCGGCUCAACCGUAAAAUUGCAGUUGAAACUGGCAGUCUUGAGUACAGUAGAGGUGGGCGGAAUUCGUGGUGUAGCGGUGAAAUGCUUAGGUAUCACGAAGAACUCCGAUUGCGAAGGCAGUUCACUGGACUGCAACUGACACUGAGGCUCGAAAGUGUGGGUAUCAAACAGGAUUUGAUACCCCUGUAGUC
rnacentral:rRNA from 1 species